AUAGAGUAAGAGUACAACACCGAACGGAUGAGUUCAAGUCAUCUUGCUUUUGAAAGAAGCCUAUUUUUCCAGGAGGAAAUUCUAUUCUUUAUAUUUUGCAGGAUAGGAUGACAGUGGGUUUUGUGAAUGCCAGUGGAUAUGAGUGGGAGACCAAGAUAUGUAACUGGCAAAUUUCCCUCACUAACCCCUAGGGUAUGUGCAAUAACAUUUUUGUCCUCAAUAUAAG
rnacentral:lncRNA from 1 species